GCCGGAGGAGCAGCCGACCUCCCGGAGGGGCCUGUGAGCGCCCGGAACGGGAGGUGCUCCACUCCGGCCCUUUUCCGGCUGAGACGGCCGUCCUGCCUCCGGGCAGCUGGCGCCAAUGCCCACGCCCGAGACGGUGGGGAGCUGCUCCCUGGACCAAAGAGUGUUAGGGAUCCCGUGCUGGCAGAAGCUCUGGAUGGGCAAACUGAGGCCCUGCGGCAGGAAGGGCAAACCCAGACCUGGAACACACACCCACUCCUGACAGGACAGCGUGUGGACCCCAGACUGGAUGGGUCUCCUCUGACCAACUCGCCAGGUCGCCUGUGGUCUCCUUGAGGAAAAGAAUUCGGUGAGGAUGCAGUUUUAAAUGACACCCAGAUAAGGAGAGGGAAGAAUGGUUCAGUGACAGGAAAAAAAAGUCUUUUCUCAAGUGGAAAGGAUGAUUAAGGUUUUGAAAAUUUGAGUCAACCAUUCCAAAUACAAGUGGUUGUUAAAGUGGUUGUUAAAGACGAAUUUGCUGUAAUUCCUGCUCAAGUUUUGCUGUGAAUAUAGAACUACCCUAAAAAAUAGUCUUAGAACUUUAAAAAGAAAAAAAAGAAUGUGACUUUCAUUCUGAAUUGAUGUGUGUGUGGGAGUCUGAGGUCACAUGAAAUCAUUGUUCCCUAACUCCAAACUUUACUUGAACCUGUUUGUACAGAUAAGGAAACAAUGUAAGAGUUUUAUGCUGAGCCUAAGCUUUUGAUUAACAAUCAAAUGCUUUCCGUGUAAUCAGGCUCUGCUGAGGCUGAUAAAGCUGACUAGUUGGCAUUAAUCCAAAGCAUCUCUCCUGCAAUCUUGUUGCUUUAACGUAACUGUACCUGGGUGAGUGUUCCCAGCCUGCUUGGCCUGGCAGAGCAGCGACGCUCUCCAAGUGAGUACUUCACCUAAAUGCCACAGCCCCUCGGUGCCUCAUCUCAUCACUGUCAGUGACACUCUGUCAACCAUUAAAAGGAAAAUUCCAAGCAAUGCCCGAUGUUUGAGUAAAUAGAACACAUUUAAGUUGCUGGACUAGGAAACCAGAGUCCAGUCAGAUGACUAGUCGAAACUCCAGAAGAGAUAUGGGAAGCCACCAAACAGCUGUGCCUCAGUUUCCCUCUGUGAGAAGUGAACCUUGGCCACUGCAGAUCCAGGCCAGCUGAAGAGCUAGAUAGGAUGACAGUACUGCAGGUGGCCUGCACUAGAGACGGAGGCAUGAACAGCCUUGUACGGAGCGCCAGGCAGACGUCACGGGGUCCUGUCUCACCGACCCAGCCCCAGCCUUUACCUGAGCAGGGCCGUGUGCUCCCUUCCACUUCAGACUGAAUGAAGGCGAUGGUGCCCCGCCUUGAACGUGCUGUGGCGAUGCCAGACUGUCGAGGUCUUGGGGCGACACAGAGCAAAGAAGGCAGCGGGAGUCGUCAUGGAGGGUGCUCAAAAGAAGCCUCUUUAUUCUGCAUAAAGCUGUAUUUUUACUGUUAUUGUGCUGAUUCAUGGUUGCAUAAGCAUUGAAGACGCGCAUGCUUGUGGCCUUCAUGGCCCCAUGUCCAGCCUUCAAAGCCCUUACCUAGCUUCUUACUCAUGGGUACAACAUGCUGUGUUUUCAAGAUUUCAUGGAUAAGGCCAGACAUCGUGGGUGAAGCAACGGACAGCUGUCCUAUAUAGAACAGUAGGGAAGAGGGAGGGGGUGGGUGCUUCCCUACCCUGACAGAUGCUCAUCUUUAAACUUAAGUGAGAAUGGAUUCUAGGCAACCACAGAGAUGUCAGGGAGAGCUGGAAACUCAGUCACCGGAAAGCAUUUCUCCUAGUCAGACCCAGCCCUUCGUGUGAUGAGUGGUGCAAAGAAUUGUGUGGUUUAAGCGAAUAUGAGACAGGUCUCAUAAAACCUGGGGUUAGCCAGGCAGCACCACCAAACCGCGGGGUUGUACUUCCCCAGAGCAGUAACCCUAACCCAGGUCUAUGCCUGAAUCUCAACCUUUGUGUGUCGCAAUACAUUUAAACCCACAUGGGGACCCAGAAGCAGUUUGUGCACAUCCUUGGGUCAGUGCUUUUCAAACUGUGUUCCUCAGAACUCUAGAAUUAUUUCCAUGGCCAUUGUAGACAGGUUCUGUAAAUGUUAGCUAUGAGUCUUAACUUUUUUAACAAUUGAAAAGCUGUCUGGAUAAAUUCCCUCACCCUCAAGGAGAGAAACAGUCCUUAGGCAUGGGCUGUGUGUAGCAGCUUCCUCCCAUAGGACAGUGUGAAAGGAAGAGAAAAACAGUAACUGUAGAGUGGAGACACGUGAUAGACACAUCUCAGCCAGGUGGCCCAACAUCAGCAUCACAGCAAAGUGCAGGCUGACCACAUGUACCUGGGCAGGAUGGGACGAGGAUACCUCAGUCUUCCAACCCAAGCCCCAGUCUAGUCAUGAGAAAACACACAAAUUCCAGUAGUAAAGGAACACCCUACAGAAUAUAUGGCAAACACUCAAAGCUGUCAAGGGGCCCAAAAGCCAGAGCCAAAGGAACAGGGUUGGCUGAAAGUCACGUAGUGUCCAGAUGGGUUCUUAGAACAAGAGGGGCACUGCAAAAUUACUGCAAACAAAGGAAAUGUGAGCUCAAGACAAUGUAUCAGACUGGGUUCACUGAUCUAACAAAUGUAUCACACCAAUGUUAGUGAUGUGCAAACUCCACCUUCUCAAUUUUUCUGCAAAUGUAAAAUUGUUUUAAAACACAAAGUUAUUUUGUUCAACCAUCUAACAAACUCAUACCCCUUGGGAUGUAUUAUGUACACCUCUGGGAUCACAUCCUAGCUGCCUUGAGUGGCUCAGCUAAGUUAACCAGCUUUUGUGUUCAUGGAGACCUCCUGUUUGAGUGGUAGUGCCAUGAUACCUGUAAAACCAUAAGUACUGAAGGAUAUGAGCCAUUUAAAGAACUUUUAGCCCAAUUUUGGCCAUCAGAUGCAAGUUUCUGUGUCAGUUAUGUUGAGGGGGCUGUAAAUGUGCUGGCCGCCUGCCCCUGCCCCAACCCAGGACCACUAUCACCAGUUCCAAUCUCAAACCUGUUACCCCCACUUCAUUAGGCAGGCUGACUUUUUGUAAACCUGGAAUGUAAGCCCACGCAGGUGAAGGGCCCCUUUUGUCUGUUUUGUGCCCUCAGAGGGCAGCACCGUUUGUAGAAGGCUCCCCUUGCUGGGUGAGCCCCUCCCCACCCACAGCUGGUGGGGUGGGGGAGUGGUAGCUGCCAUCUGGGCGCUGGCCUGGCUGAGGGUUCUGGCCUCAGGUGCCCCAACCUCUCAGCCUCCGGAACCACCCCACCCACCCUCUCCAAGCUGGAGUCUCUGCCAGGCAGUCCCAACGCUGGAGUCACAUCACUGCCCGGAGGGGUGAUAUCCCGAGUACCCAUAUGCCCUGUGAGGUCCAGCUGGGUGUCUGGAAGUGGGCCACUGUGAGCCCCCACCCGGAAAGCUCCUAGGCAGGUAAUUGGCCAGUUACCUGUUUCUGUCCCUUCUGCCACCCAGAAUUUCUUGAAAUCUGCAGCCCUGUCCUCCUAGUGUUGGGGCUUCACAGGGACCAGGCAUGGGGUAGCUGGCCUUUGUAGGCCUGGCUGUCAGUACCUUCUUCCCCAGAAGGAGGCAGCUGUGCUGGGGCGUCCCAGGCCAGGGAGGUGGAAGGACACGUCCAGACUCAGGCAGACGGGGCUGGGGGUCCACUGGUGAAGCCCUCAGGGGUCAGUCUGGAGACAAGGAGGCUCAAUCAAGACCGACACAGAGGGGAUGGAGGGCUUGGAGCUGGGGCUGCCCUGGAGGACGGGUCUGCCAGGGCACCUGCUGCUCAGCGUCAAUGGUCCUGGGCCUUCCAGCUGCUCCUUGGAAAAUGCAGAAGGGCAGGAUGCACAUCAGAAGGUACCUCCAUGACUUUCCCAUAGCGUUGUGUGGUUGCACAGGGACAUGAUGCAUUUAAUGUAACUCAUCUAUGCCAGACACCUGGAUAAAAGAAAACGUGAAGGAAAUGGUCUGUAGUUGUGAGACUGAUUCACUUGCCACAGAGGGGCAGUGACUUGCUCAGGACCACCAGGUGAGGCCACUGCCCCUCCCAGCCCAAGGCCAGUCCUGGGUGCCUGCACCACCCCAAGCCCCACCUGUGAGCAGGAACCCCAGCCUUGGGCGCUCAGUGUAUGUCCCGACCCCCAGACCCGCUAAGCCACAGAGAGAGAGGAGCAGGGACGCUUGGGGCCUGGUCCAGGGGCCCCGGCCUGCCUGCCCCACCCUCUGGGCAUUGGCCCCCAGGUUUUCCCCAGGCUGAUUCAAAGACUGCACCUCCUCAAGGAAGCCCUCAGGGUGCCACACCGCACUCCGUGUCCACCAGUGAGGAGAGGGACUCUGGGGUGCCCCCUCUCUGGACAGGGGAGGGGCUCACAGAGCUCAAGGGUGACACUUCGCCUCCCCUUUGACCUGGAAGCUUCUGAGGUCUGCCUGGCAAGAAACCACCAGGAAUCCACUCACCACCCCCUACAGCUGUCACCAGCCAUCCGGGGACCUGGGUAGGCCUCCGAGCAUGGCCGUGGCACGUUCUGUGGGUGGAGUGGGAAGUCGCAGAUCCCUGAGAGGAGGCCCUGGUCCUGACCAUUUGCUGCUUUGCAGGCCUUCCCUGAGAGAGACAGGAUGUGAGCCUUCAGAGGCUGGAGGGCAGGUGCAAGGGAGGGACGGUGACUGCCUGCAGGUGGGCAGUGACCAGGGGCCCUGUCUCAGGAGGGGCCCCCUAAGGUCUGAGUUCAGGUCUCAUUCCAGCAGGAAGCAGUCAGAAGGAGCAGGGGUCAGUGUUCUGUCCUCAGACGGGGCCCUUCCUCGGGCCCGGGGGCUGGAGCAGAGAAGCAAACCCAGCUCAGGAAUGGGUGAACUGGUGCCUGGGGCCCCAUGGGUACUGCGGGACCCUUUGGGGUGCGGACUCUGGGGCCCAGGGCCUGGAUAGCCGAGCAAGUCAGGCUCUGGGAUCUGUGAGUUCUCUUCGUAGGCUCCCCCGCAAGGAAGGGUAUACAGUGAAAGAGAAGUGGAAAAGGGCGUACUGUGUCCCUCAGGUGACCGCUGGUGCCCUCUUGUGGCCGUGGUCGGCACGGCUCAGCGGCACCGUGUGCAUAGCCGGGGCUCUAGAGGAGAGUCCGUCCCAGUGGAGCAGCCCUUGGGGCUGUGGGAUGACCAGGCAACACUCGGCUUGCAAGGCUUCUGCUCUGUGCCCGCGGUGGGUCUGCAGCCGCUCGUGAACUGCAGAGGGUUCUGAAAUCCAAAUUCAGCCUCCUGAACUUCAAACUCAAAGUGCCGAGGAGCUGAGGUUCCUGUCCUCCUCUCCUGACCUUGCAGCCGGGAGACUCUGGCCCUGCAUUCAGCACCCUGCCAUCCCUUCUCUUCUUGGAAACAGUCUGUGUCAAGUUUUCACGAGGGACAUGUGCAGUGCUGUGUGGCCUCUCACAGGACCAUUUAACCACCGGCUUACAGCAUGUGCAUCCUCUGCCCCCACGCUCCCGUCGGAGUGACCUUCCUGCUCUCUGGUGGGAGCAUUAUUGCACAACAAAUUAAGGAGUAAGUGACAGGUGGAGCCAUCCUGCGAGAUGCCAGAAACCUUCCAUGCCAACCACUCCGUUUGUUUCCACCCUGGCCCUUUGCCCUGGAGCUGCUUCUGUACAGACCAUCUGGGCUUGUGCUGCCUUUGACAGUUUUCUCACACUGGUCACAAUGUUCUCAAUACUUCUGAUUCUGGCAGUUCUGGGCAAUGUUUACCACUGCUCCUUUGAAAAUGGUCUCUGUAGACUUGGCCAACUUGACAUGUGUCCUGUUUGCCUUCCUCAAUGGUUCCCAGGCAUGGACAAUGGCUGCUUUCUCCCGAAAUGCUUCCAUUUAGAGUCAUUUUUGGGUCUCCUACCGCAGUGUCUGCUGACUCAGCCAAAUUUCCACUUCCCCAAUUAGCUUAUUUGGAGAUCAACCACAAAUGUCCAACAUUGACACCUAUUUUGGAAACAUUAAACAAUAAAUUCAUUGCAGAUAUAACACUCCCUUUCAGGGACAAAAAAGCUGAUUCAGUCCAUUUUCUACCUUCUUUACUUUUCCAGGCACAUCAGCUGUUCUUGCCGAAGCUAAUGCCCAAGCCUCCUCAUAAGCCAUGAGAAUUCAGGAUAUAGAAUUAAAUUAAGAAUCUGUAUCUCCCAUGUCCACACACAGUAGUUUGAGUUAAAGAUAGCCUCUAGAGGUACUGAAAUAUAACUAUCAAAUACUACAGGUGAGGUUAUGCCUAUGUGGGCCACCUUUCAUACCAGAAAUGGAAAGAUAUUGUCUAAUAUCAACAAAUACAGUUAAAAUGGUGUCAGCUCAUGACUAGAUAAAUCAUAAGGAUAGACACCAGAAGAACUGGGACGUAACAACCUGCUCUUGGGGAAGACUAGCUUUUCAUCUUAAGCUCAUUUGCACAUAGAAAAUCAUGGGGUGACAUUACUUUGACAAAAUUAAAAUACUGGUUUUCAGGAGUUUUGCAUCCGCCUUGAAAGCAAAGGGAAGCUGUCAGACCCAACAUGUGAUAAAGGUUGGGGCCUGGGGCAGGGUGAGGGGGCGUCUUCCUCGGAGGUGCCCCGCUAGGGGCUGCCCAGGUGAGGGGCUCCUGGCGGACCCAGCAAGCCCUCCGUGGAGUGAUUCCUGGCACUCGUCUGUGGGUUUCCAGCCAGGUGGUCUAUGAGAGCCACGGGGAGAGCCUCCUUCACUGCCGUGUCUCAAGGGCUUAAAGCCUGGUCACCACUGUCAAACCCUAAGGUUCCGGGCUCUGCCGCCAGGCUCCCAAGCCUAAAUCCCAUCUCUGUUUCAGGGCUUUCCCCCCCAGAGCUUGCACAUGAUCCUGUCCUAUAUGAUUGUAAGGUUGCUUUGCAAAAAUGGAAUUCACAGAAACGUUUACUCACUCUGACACUGAAAAAAACCAAAAACCCAGCCAACCAAAUGAAACCCCAGUGAUCAAAGGGCUCCUAGUGGGGCUCGAGUGCCCUGCUCACCUCGCUGGUCCUUAGACGUGCCGUGCGACUGGUCUCGCUCUCUGCUUGGGCCCUGGAGGGGAUGGUGAGGCCCUAGCUGGCCCGACCCUCUGUGUGCUAUGGGUAGGCCGUCGAGCUCCGUUAGACUCAGACUCAUGUCCUCCAACCUUGUUGCCAGUUACUGUCCGUGGGCUCUGCCCAUCAUUCCUUGGUGUAGUCAGCACUUCUCCCACCUGAUUGCCCAUCAGGAACACCUGGGGAGUUCAAACUGUGCAUAGGUUCUCAGAUCGUUGGGCAGUAGGCCUGGGAACCUGCAUUUGUAAUGCACCCUCCAGGAGGACCUGCUGCAGCCAGCAGUGUCAUCCUCAGGGCAGCCUUUGGGAACUGCUGGAUGGAAGGUCUCACGGGUCCUCUGAGCGCUCUGGUCUUGUGAUCCUUGAUUCAGCAAAUAUUCACCUAGCACAGACAGAGUAGCUUGUCAGCGGGAGGUCCGACAGGGGCUUCCGGGGCUGCUGGCUGCUCACAGCAAGACACUGCGUGCACGCCCACCCGAGGAGCCCAGCCUGCACCCUGCCUCUCAAGUUGCGGCUGCUUUCGACAACUGGCAGGACCUCCCACGGGAAGAGUCCCAGCCCUGCUUUGCCCAUCCCCUCUCGGUGACGGGUAAAGAACUUGCCCUUUUAGGAAACCAUUUUGGCAGAAUUGGGACUUCAGUGUCUGCAGUACUGGCCAGAACGUGACGGAUACAAGAAACACUCUGGGGAGAAAAGAAAUCUGGCUGAAUUUGGAGGGUUUAUUUUAUUGUGGUAAAAUAUAUCUGACAUAAAAUUUA